GUGGGGAAUUUUGGACAAUGGGCGCAAGCCUGAUCCAGCCAUGCCGCGUGUGUGAAGAAGGCCUUCGGGUUGUAAAGCACUUUUGUCCGGGAAGAAAUCUUCCAGGUUAAUACCCUGGGAGGCUGACGGUACCGGAAGAAUAAGCACCGGCUAACUUCGUGCCAGCAGCCGCGGUAAUACGAAGGGUGCAAGCGUUACUCAGAAUUACUGGGCGUAAAGCGUGCGUAGGUGGUUCGUUAAGUCUGCCGUGAAAGCCCCGGGCUCAACCUGGGAAUGGCGGUGGAUACUGGCGGGCUAGAGGGCGGUAGAGGGUGGUGGAAUUCCCGGUGUAGCAGUGAAAUGCGUAGAGAUCGGGAGGAACAUCUGUGGCGAAGGCGGCCACCUGGACCAGCACUGACACUGAGGCACGAAAGCGUGGGGAGCAAACAGGAUUAGAUACCCCAGUAGUCC
rnacentral:rRNA from 1 species